rnacentral:lncRNA from 1 species
UUGAACGACUUCUGCACUACAUCCUAAGAAUAGGCCAAGAGGGGCUUGGUAAACUAAGGUCCUUGGCUUAUAAGGUCUAUAUUGGAAGGAGUAAUGUCUAACCACAACUACUCGUGUGACAUUAUUGAUCCCAACAUGACCUCCACCAAGUGAAUGGACUUGCAAGUCAACUUGCUAAGGAAUAACUCCACACAAGUCAACAAGACUAUGCCAU